GCUAUAUUACAUUGAAACACUAGUUUUUGUAUGAUCACUGAAGUUAAGCAAUGUUGAGCCUGGUCAGUACCUAGAUGGCUGACCAAUUGGGAAUACUAGAUGCCGUAAG